GCCGGGCAUGGUGGCUCAUGCCUGUAAUCCCAGCACUUUGGGAGGCCGAGGUGGGUGGAUCACAUGAGGUCAGGAGUUCAAGACCAGCCUGGCCAACAUGGUGAAACCCCAUCUCUA
rnacentral:SRP_RNA from 1 species